rnacentral:rRNA from 1 species
GCUAGCUACAGGCUUAACACAUGCAAGUCCAUGGGCAGCAUGGUCUUAGCUUGCUAAGGCCGAUGGCGACCGGCGCACGGGUGAGUAACACGUAUCCAACCUGCCGUCUACUCUUGGACAGCCUUCUGAAAGGAAGAUUAAUACAAGAUGGCAUCAUGAGUUCACAUGUUCACAUGAUUAAAGGUAUUCCGGUAGACGAUGGGGAUGCGUUCCAUUAGAUAGUAGGCGGGGUAACGGCCCACCUAGUCUUCGAUGGAUAGGGGUUCUGAGAGGAAGGUCCCCCACAUUGGAACUGAGACACGGUCCAAACUCCUACGGGAGGCAGCAGUGAGGAAUAUUGGUCAAUGGGCGAGAGCCUGAACCAGCCAAGUAGCGUGAAGGAUGACUGCCCUAUGGGUUGUAAACUUCUUUUAUAAAGGAAUAAAGUCGGGUAUGGAUACCCGUUUGCAUGUACUUUAUGAAUAAGGAUCGGCUAACUCCGUGCCAGCAGCCGCGGUAAUACGGAGGAUCCGAGCGUUAUCCGGAUUUAUUGGGUUUAAAGGGAGCGUAGAUGGAUGUUUAAGUCAGUUGUGAAAGUUUGCGGCUCAACCGUAAAAUUGCAGUUGAUACUGGAUAUCUUGAGUGCAGUUGAGGCAAGCGGAAUUCCGUGGUGUAGCGGCGAAAUGCUUAGAUAUCACGAAGAACUCCGAUUGCGAAGGCAGCCCUGCUAA